rnacentral:rRNA from 1 species
AGACUUUGAUCCUGGCUCAGAUUGAACGCUGGCGGCAGGCCUAACACAUGCAAGUCGAGCGGCAGCACGGGAGCUUGCUCCUGGUGGCGAGCGGCGGACGGGUGAGUAAUGCCUAGGAAUCUGCCUGUUAGUGGGGGAUAACUCGGGGAAACUCGAGCUAAUACCGCAUACGUCCUACGGGAGAAAGUGGGGGACCUUCGGGCCUCACGCUAACAGAUGAGCCUAGGUCGGAUUAGCUAGUUGGUGGGGUAAAGGCUCACCAAGGCGACGAUCUCUAGCUGUUCUGAGAGGAUGAUCAGCCACACUGGGACUGAGACACGGCCCAGACUCCUACGGGAGGCAGCAGUGGGGAAUAUUGCACAAUGGGGGAAACCCUGAUGCAGCCAUGCCGCGUGUGUGAAGAAGGCCUUCGGGGUUGUAAAGCACUUUCAGUGGUGAGGAAGGGCGUAAGAUUAAUACUCUUGCGCAUUGACCUUAGCCACAGAGAAAGCACCGGGUUAACUUCCGUGCCAAAACCCGCGGUAAAACCGAGGGGGGCAAGCGUUAAACCGGAA